GCCUUGGAAGCUAGCAGCAGCUUAUUUUGUAAUUAAGUAGAGGUCAGAAAUCCUGGCUCAAGGUU
rnacentral:tRNA from 1 species